AACGAACGCUGGCGGCAUGCCUAACACAUGCAAGUCGAACGAGACCUUCGGGUCUAGUGGCGCACGGGUGUGUCGCGCGUCGGAACCUGCCUUUAGGUUCGGCAUACCUCUGAGACAUUUAUGCUAAUACCGGAUGAUAUCUUCUGACCGAUGAUAUAUCGACUUUAGAUGGUCGAGCGUUGGAUUAGCUCGUUGGUAGGGUAAUGGCAUCUCACGGCGAGGAUUCAUAACUUGUCUGAGAGAAUGGUCAGCGACACUGAGACGGAGACACGGCCCAGACUCCUACGCGAGGCAGCAGUGGGUAAUAGAGGACAAUCGGCGAAAGCCUGAUCGAGCAAGGACGCGUAAGCUAUGAAGGCCUUAGGGUUGUAAAGCGCAUGUAACCGAGAUGAUAAUGACGGUAUCGAGAGAAUAAGCUCCGGCUAACUCCGUG
rnacentral:rRNA from 1 species